rnacentral:lncRNA from 1 species
UCUCGGCCAGCAUUUGCUCUCUUUUUACCUGCGUCUUUGCCAGCACAUCAUCGUCUCUCUCUCCCACGCUCAGUCCAAUUUUUCAGUAGAAGCCCCAGGUGGUGACUGAAGCAGCUCUCCUUGACGCUGCCACUUGCCAGUUUCUCCAUCUGCUUCGGUCAACAAUAGCAACAACCGAAGCUCCUCGGUUGACCGCAAAAGCCCAACAGCAGCGACGUCCACGAAGCUUCUCCAUCGUCCACGUCCGCACGUCUCUGCCAGCGUUUCUUUCCCCACGGAGUUGUCACGAAGAUCAAAGGAGCCCCAACAGCUGCUUCGGCGUCUGUUCCAUCUCUCGGCAACGACGCCACUUACACCUCCACGGACGUCUUCGCCAGCAGCUGCUUCUUCGGUCAACACUGCAAUCCACCAAAGACCAGCAAAUUUGUUGCAGCUGCUUCGUCGUCCACGCGUCCCUCAGCUCCAAGCCAGCACAGGUCAACCUCGUGUCUUCUCCGCCGGUUUGUUGACCAGCAACAUCCACUGAGGACGCCAGCGAACAGCUUCCUCCUUCGCCUGCGUCUUCUCCAGUUCGUGGGCCAGCUUCAGCAACCCAUCGAGUCCAUGAAGCAAGCCGUGAGAUCCCGCAGUCCUCAAGCCAAGCAAAGCCAGUAAUCUCGGCCCAUAGUGCAGUCUUCAAGCCCAGUCAAAAUUUCACCAAUAGCAACUCCAUUGAGCCCAAGUCAGCAAGCCCAAAAAUCCAGCAGUUCAGCCCACGUAGAGCUCGGCCCAUCUUCAGCAAUAAUAGCCCAGCUUUUGAAGCCCAUCUUCAGCAAGCCCAACCCAACUUGGGUUUAGCCCAAAAUCAAGAACAAAUCUCACUUGGGCUGAGAUUUGUUGGGCCCGUUCUAGGCCCAGUUCAAGCCUGCUGAUGUCCCGGUCUUCGCGUUUAUCAAGUGAGUUUUAUUCACUAAUGCCUUAUUAGUUUGCUAAUUAUACUUAAAUAUUGAUUAUAUUUAAUUAAGUGCACUUAGGUGGUUAGAUUAGUUUAGAACAAUUAAAUUAGUGACUUAAUGAUGUCUGUUAGGUGGUUAGACCUAGUCAUUAGCAAGUAGAAAGGUUCGGUUAUUUUCGGUUAUUUAUUGAACGGGUCUCAGGAUUUUUCCCGAUUUGUCUUGGCUUCCAAUCAGGCAUUAUGGGCAUAAAUUAUUUAUUUAUUUAAUUUUCGAAAUUAAUUAAUUAAUUAAUUAUUUUUCCGGAAAUUAGGCAGAAUUAGGCAGGGAUAGCCAACGACCGGAAUUUUAUGCUGAUUGUCAUGGUGCAGUCUAUUUAUUUAAUUGAGCUUCAUUUUGUGAUAAAUUGAUUUAUGAGUGAUUUUAGGAUUUAUUUCUAAAUUGAAUAAUUUUUUGUUAUUAAUUACAAAAUAACCGGGCAUCGAUUAAUAGUGUCAAAAAUAUUUUGAUGGGCUACAGAAAAAUGUGGGAUUUAUAGAAAAGAAAUUACUAUAUUUUGGCUAAGGCCGAUCGUGUCCAAUGCAUGUGUAUUUUUAUCAAGAAAUGAUAAAAAUGGUAAAUUGAUUGUGUUUUUAGAAUAAAAAUAUUAUACCGACUCGGUGACUCAAUAUGUCAUUUUGGAGAAUAAACGUUAUGAUGAAUAUACUCGAUAUACCAUGUCGACUCGGUGACUCUAUACGUCAUUUUGGAGAAUGGACGACAUGCCAUAACGGCUCGGUGACUCAAUAUGUCAUUUUAGAGAAUGGAUAUUAUGAUGAAUAUACUCGGUAGCUUGGUAUGUCAUUAAGGAAAAUCAGUCUUAUAAUACACCGGCUUGGUAACCCAAUGGGUUAUUUUAUAGAAUGGAUAGUAUUGAUUGAAAUGACCAAGAAUGGUUUGGUCGACAUGUAAUCGACUAGGUCGAUUAAUCGAGAUAUCGAUCCGUGAGAUAAUAAUUGGGUGCUUAUUUGAACUGUGCUAAUAUGCAGGAUGUAAUCUGAGGCCAAGGUAAGCUUUUUGACUCGUGUUGUGCAUAGGCAGCCCUAAGGUGUAUUGGUUUACUAAUCGGGUUUUAGAGGGGUAAAAAUUGCUAAGAUAUUGUCUCAUUGGUUAUUGAAUAACCAUUUCAGGUCCCUAGAUGCAGCAGGCUUGGAUUUUGAAGAACUCGAAAGUCUGGUGCGGUAUGCUGGAGGCUUCAGUUGGAGUUUGAAGGAUGAUGAAGAGGAGGACGGGGACUCGUAGCUUGUAGAACCCCACUUCUGCUUGUAGACCUUGUUUUAAACUAGCUUAAUGUGAAUUAGACUUAAUAGUUCACCUUGUAUAUAU